GACGAACUGUCCUAACGUUGUUCGGAAUCACUGGGCUUAAAGGGCGCGUAGGCGGUCGAUCAAGUCAGGGGUGAAAUCCUGCAGCUUAACUGUAGAAGUGCCUUUGAUACUGGUCGUCUCGAGGGAGGUAGGGGUGUGUGGAACUUCCAGUGGAGCGGUGAAAUGCGCAGAUAUCAGGAAGAACACCCGUGGCUAAGGCGGCUCUCUAGUACGGUACUGACGCUGAGACGCGAAAGCGUGGGGAGCGAACAGG
rnacentral:rRNA from 1 species